rnacentral:rRNA from 1 species
GCGCGUGCCUCUGGAAGAGUUAUCUUUUUCUUUGCUAACAGUCCAGCGACCCUGAAAUCGGAUUAUCCGGAGAUGAGGGUUGUAAGGCUGGAAUAGUGUAUGUUUGAUUUUCUUUAUACAAAUAGAAGCGCUCGCGAUGGUCCUUGAAAACCCGAGUGAGGUAAUUUAUUCCAUACCAGGCCGUACCAAUAACCGCAUCAGGUCUCCAAGGUGUGUAGCAUCUGGUCCAUAGAACAAUGUAGAUAAGGGAAGCCGGCAAAAUAGAUCCGUAACCUCG